rnacentral:rRNA from 1 species
AUACAGAGGGUGCGAGCGUUAAUCGGAAUUACUGGGCGUAAAGCGCGCGUAGGCGGUCUAUUAAGUCAGAUGUGAAAUCCCAGGGCUCAACCUUGGAACUGCAUCUGAUACUGGUAGACUAGAGUUUUAGAGAGGGAAGUAGAAUUUCAGGUGUAGCGGUGAAAUGCAUAGAGAUCUGAAGGAAUACCAGUGGCGAAGGCGACUUCCUGGCCAAAAACUGACGCUGAGGUGCGAAAGCGUGGGUAGCAAACGGGAUUAGAAACCCUAGUAGUUC